ACCUGGGGGCAAGCAACACGCAGCAAGCUGCUUCUCCCAUGUGUCUCAUUCUCCCUUGUAUGCCGAUUAAAAAAGAGAAGCAGCCUGCAGCGGGCCACCGGCUCGACCGCGGCAAGACGGACCUGGAGGAGGCGCUUCCCUAAUGGUGUAAUCUGCUUCAAUCGGCUCGAGUGCAGCAACCCGCUUGGGCCAGCUCGAGUCCGACAGCCCGUAGAUGGAUGAGGCGGACGCCACAGACUUGGAGGUUGCAGGUGCGCAGUGGAGUCACCGUUCCUUGCCGUUGUCUGUCCGCAAGGGAGCCACUCCUUGAUGGACUGCAGUUCGCUGACGAAGCUACAGAUCCACAGGAGAAAUGAUCAGGAUGAAGAAGCAGAGUACACUACAAAGCAUGAACUGGAGAUUUCAGAUGGACGGUGCCUCAGAGGUUUCCUCUGGAAACAUCACUCGGA